CAGUAUGUUCUCUUUUACUCCUCCUUGGUCUCCCCCAACUCCAUCACAUUACCCAGUGCUGCAACCUAUCUGCUAAAUCCUCUUCUCUGGUCCUCCCCAUGGUGAUGCUGAGAAACUUGCUGUUCUUCUCUCAAAACAAGGAAGGAAAGGAAGAGUUUAAUCCAUGGAUUGUUUGAACGUCAUCAGGCUCCUCGGUCUGGAACUGGGAAUCUCACCCCCAAGAAGCCUGUCACCUCCAUUCUUGACCUACAGAGGAAAGGAUGUGGAUCAAACCACAGAUGUGUGAUUUAUCCCCUCCAGGGAGAAGGAAGGAAUUCCUAAUCAAUACCAUUGUGCCUAGGUGCACUUCCUGGAUCCUAUGGUAAUUCUAUGGUUAGCUCUUUGUGAAACUGCCAAACUAUUUCCCAUGGGAGUCAAAUCAUUUUACAUUCCCACCAGCAAUGGAAGCUUUCCAUUUUCUCCACACCCUGACCAACACCUAUUAUUUUCUGCUUUUACUUUGUGUGGUGAUAAAUGGUAUACAGAUUUUUAAAGGUACAGUAGCACAUGCAAUCAGGCACGUAGGUAAAAGUCAUCAAUCAAUAGAUACAUGCAAACUGAGAAUCAACUAUACACAGGGUACCUCAUUCAGAAGAUGCUUCUGAGGAAGGCAUGUUGCUUGUCUAUGUAGCUCAGGUAAGAGGUGAGAAAGCUCCACGAAGAUGGAUGUGGAAUUUGACCAGAAAGUUUGACCCAAAUAAUCAUGCAGCAGAAAGACCUUCUCCAAUAACUAUGGUUGUUGAGCAAGAACUCAAGACUCCUGGGAUCUAAACCUAUUUUAUGCAUAUGGUGCUAAUCUAUUAAACUUGUACUAGUCUUUAUUCAAUUGGACAAUAACUAGGGAAAUCAUAUUGUAGUAACUGUCUGCUAGUUGUGCACUUGGGGUUGAAUUCUUGAGUUAUA